GCUGGGCAUGGUGGCGUGCGCCUGUAGUCCCAGCUACUUGGGAGGCUAAGGCAGAAGAAUUGCUUGAACCCAGGAGUCGGAGGUUGCAGUGAGCCGAGAUUGUGCCACUGCACUCCAGCCUGGGUAACACAGCAAGACUCUGUCUCAA
rnacentral:SRP_RNA from 2 species